GGAAUCCUGAGAGGGUUCAGGGCCCUGGGAUUCCACAGUCACCCCACCCCUGUUUCAUUUGCAGCCGCCAGGAAGCAGCAGGAAAGGGCUCCAUCGGAUCCCCUGGCCCCCCCAGAGGAGGGGGAGGUGCUGUACACCUACGUCGUGGUCACCAAGAGGGCAGGGGGAUCCCCAGGUGACCUACGCUGAGCUGCAGAGACCCCAG